rnacentral:lncRNA from 1 species
GACAAAAAAAUUCUCAGGAUCUUUUUACAAAUUAUAUUCGAGAUAAGAGUCGAAUUUUCCGUCAGUAAGCUGUUCAUUCUUCUCGAGAUGUUUUCAUCGCCGAUCUCCAUGGCUCCAACGUCGGCAAAACCAGUCCCUGGUAUAUUCUUUCUUCAGGUGCCUGUUGUAGUUAUCAUAUCUCAUCUUCGUCGAGAUAUUCUUCAUCGAUUCUCUUCAGUUUUGAUCGCGCCAAAACGGCUUACAUUGACGUAGAUCGUGCUGAACUAAGGAAUGACGAAAAUGCACAUCCAGCGGCGGCUGCUGGCGGUUUUAUCUAUAAUUCUCAAAUUUGCCUGACUUGUUCAGACGAGGAAUCACCACCGGACGUCGUCUACAACCCUUGCCGGCACUGUAUUUUUUGUCAAGCAUGUCAAAGACAGUACGUGCAAAGUCUGCUUGGAGAUGGGCAAAUUUUAACAUGUAGUUACUGCCGACAAGAGGUUGUCUCAGUUGACUUGCUUAUUUAAAAAUAUUAAUCCUCAUUACUUAUUAUGUCUUUAAUUUAAAUUUAAUUUUGUUAAAGAAACUAAAAUU